CUCCCGAUAGCUCAGUUGGUAGAGCGAUGGACUGUAAUUGAAAAAUCAUCUUCUAGAAAAUCCACAGGUCGUGUGUUCGAAUCACACUCGGGAGA